rnacentral:RNase_P_RNA from 1 species
CGAGUAGAACAGGUAAUCGCGCUUAGUUCACUUUACGUCAGUAAAGUGAACCAGUUACAAAGCAACAAACAGAUGCACUAGGUGCAGAUGGUUGUUGCUAGACUGGAAACACCUUACGUAAAAUGAACUAGGUGAGGAAAGUCCGGGCUUCACAGGGCAGGAUGCCGGAUAACGUCCGGUUGAGGUGACUCACAGGAAAGUGCAACAGAAAGUAUACCGCCUCACUCCCGUCGCCACAGGCGGCGGGAGCAGGUAAGGGUGAAAUGGCGAGGUAAGAGCUCACCGCCUGGCUGGUAACAGACAGGGCAUUGUAAACCCCAUCCGAAGCAAGACCAAGCAGGAGUGCUGACGCGGCCCGCCGAGCUCCAGGUAGGUUGCUAGAGCCAUGCAGUAAUGUAUGGUCCAGAUAGAUGAUUACCCCGGAGGAUACAUACCCUCUAUGACAUAACCCGGCUUAUAGUUCUGCUCGCUCA